AGCGAACGCUGGCGGCAGGCUUAACACAUGCAAGUCGAGCGGGCCCUUCGGGGUCAGCGGCGGACGGGUGAGUAACGCGUGGGAACGUGCCUUCUGGUCUGGAAUAACCCUGGGAAACUAGGGCUAAUACCGGAUACGCCCUUUUGGGGAAAGGUUUACUGCCGGAAGAUCGGCCCGCGUCUGAUUAGCUAGUUGGUGGGGUAACGGCCUACCAAGGCGACGAUCAGUAGCUGGUCUGAGAGGGUGAUCAGCCACACUGGGACUGAGACACGGCCCAGACUCCUACGGGAGGCAGCAGUGGGGAAUAUCGGACAAUGGGCGCAAGCCUGAUCCAGCCACGCCGCGUGAGUGAUGAAGGCCUUAGGGUUGUAAAGCUCUUUUAUCCGGGACGAUAAUGACGGUACCGGAGGAAUAAGCCCCGGCUAACUUCGUGCCAGCCGCCGCCGUAAGAC
rnacentral:rRNA from 1 species